rnacentral:rRNA from 1 species
AUGGACGCCGCCGGCGCCGGCGCGAGCAACGGGGGCCUGCUGUACCACGAGGUGCAGGAGGGGAAGCUGUGCGCCGUGCACUGCGUCAACACCGCCCUGCAGGGGCCCUUCUUCUCCGAGUUCGACCUCGCCGCGCUCGCCGCCGACCUCGACCAGCGCGAGCGCCAGGUCAUGCUGCAGGGCGCCGCCACCGUCGCCGCGGGGGACUUCCUCGCCGAGGGCGAGGGCUCCCACAACGUCUCCCUCGGCGGCGACUUCAGCAUCCAGGUUCUGCAGAAGGCACUGGAAGUCUGGGACCUCCAAGUUCUUCCCCUUGACUCCCCAGCAGCUGGGUCAUCCCUAUUUGACCCAGAGCUAGAAAUUGCUUUCAUUUGCCACCUUCAGGACCACUGGUUCUGCAUCAGGAAGGUGAAUGAGGAGUGGUAUAACUUCAACAGUCUCUACCCUGCUCCUGAGCAUCUGUCAAAGUUCUACCUCUCAGCUUUCAUUGACACCCUGAAGGGGGCAGGCUGGAGCAUUUUUGCUGUUAGGGGCAAUUUCCCUAAAGAGUGUCCCAUGGCGACAGAAGGCUCCAAUGGUUUCGGGCAGUGGCUGACUCCUGAAGAUGCCCGGAAGAUAACAGCCUCUUGUAACCAGGUGCCCGCACCCACUCAACAGGGAGCAGUCUCUCAGCUCGGUGGUCAGUCAGCAGGCAUGAGUGAAAUGGACAUCAUCACAGCACAGCAGGAAGAAGCUGACCUGAACGCCGCUAUAGCUGCCAGCCUGAUGGACGCUGGGGGUCCAUUUGGCAGCCAGAGUGCUCCUCAACAAGAAUCCAGGCCCCAGCCUAGCUAUGUGGUGGAGCAAGGAGCUAAUGUAACUACCUCUGUCGCAGUGGGGGAAGAUAGCUAUGUGGUGGAGCAAGGAGCUAAUGAAGCUGAAGCAAGCGAGCCGGGCAGCGAUACCAUAGAGGGGUCCGCCCCAGGCAGCUACCCGAGGGAGAGGUCUCCCCCUUCGGAGAGAAGAUAG